AAUUAGAAGUCAUAGCUACUGCUGGAUUUCAGGUGGAGGGAUGGCCAGAGGAAUCCUUACGCAGCUUUAGUUGCUAUAACAGUUACAGCCCUGCCUGGAGCAGGAAGCUCUGAUGAUAGUGACAUAUAACUUCAACAUCAUAAUGAGACUUGACUACUGCAAUCCACUCUACGUGAGGCUGCUUUUAAAAACUAUUCUGCAUUUAAAGCUGGUGCAAAAUGCAGCAGCCAUGUAGCAAGUGAGACCCUUAUGGCUGUUAUUACAUUAGUUCCCAGUAUUUUCUGAGUAGAAACUACAGUGCUGGUUUUACACAGCUUGGAUCUUAGAUCUUGAGGUGCUAUGGCAAGAUGUUGCUUUAACCCUUUAAAAAAAUGGAGAAAUGGAGCGGGAGCCAGCCGACACUGUUGAGGGCCAAGGCUUGAGCAUCUACUAGAAGAGCCUCCUGAUUGGAGCAGAGCACCAAUCCAAAUUGGGCAAAGUGGAAAUGCAGCUGCUUACAUGAUGGAAAGAUAUGACUGAGAAAACAAUGAUGGGAGAAGCAUUUGAGAACUCCAGAUAAUCAUUCUUAUAAAGUUUUUCUUCCAUCUCAUUUUUGCUUCCUAUUGCUAGUAAUCAGAAAGAACAUAAAAGAGGAGAGUUCAAUUUUUGCUUUUUAUCAGAAAUUGUACAUCUGCUUUAUAAACUCGACAAAUUUAAUAA